rnacentral:misc_RNA from 1 species
GAGGACCGGUGGGGGAUGAUGAUAGGCGAAAAAUCGAGUGAAUCUCCGAGGUUGAACCAUCGGAGAUUAAGAAAAAUGAUGAUGGACGUGAGCAAAAACGAGCCUGGUAGUAAAAACGGUGCGACUCAACAGGAAUGUGCUGGAUGUGGGAAAACCAUCACCGAAAGAUAUUUAUUGAAAGCGUUGGACCUGUACUGGCACGAAGAUUGUUUGAAGUGUGGUUGCUGCGAUUGCAGAUUGGGAGAAGUCGGUUCUACGCUUUACACAAAAGCCAAUUUAAUUCUCUGCAAAAGAGAUUAUCUGAGGCUUUUUGGGAACACCGGUUACUGCGCGGCAUGUAACAAAGUCAUACCGGCUUUCGAAAUGGUCAUGAGAGCAAGAACGAACGUUUAUCAUCUGGAAUGUUUUUCCUGUCAGGAAUGCGAUCACAAAUUUUGCGUGGGCGAUCAGUUUUAUCUCUACGAGAAUAAAAUUCUUUGCGAGUAUCAUUAUAAGGAGAGAGUUUAUUUCGCCAACAUGCCACAUCCGCCACCGAACGAUACCUUAGCACAUAUUAAAAGACAAGUCACGCAUCUUCAACCUCAAGGAGGUCGAAGGUCGUGAAUAGUUAACACACACUGGAAUCAUACGCAUGCACGAAGUAACGAGGUCCCUGUAAGCCGAUGAUAUCAGCAGUCUCGACGGUAUCUGCCGGAGGUCCUCCGAGACAGGCGAAUGGGGAAACAGCCCAUAACCACAAUGGAUAUCCAGCACCGGCUACAUCCAGCGCUCACAACGUCCUCAACCCCAUGAAUAAUUUAAAUGGUAUCAAUGCGCAAGCACCGUACGAUGCCAAAUGACAAA